ACCUGACUGCUAUCGGAUUGAUACUAAGCCAUGCGAGUCAUUGUAGCAAUACAAGGCAUACGGCUCAGUAACGCGUAGUCAACCUAACCUAUGGACGGGAAUAACCUCGGGAAACUGAGAAUAAUGCCCGAUAGAACAUUAUACCUGGAAUGGUUUAUGUUCCAAAUGAUUUAUCGCCAUAGGAUGGGACUGCGGCCUAUCAGUUUGUUGGUGAGGUAAUGGCCCACCAAGACUAUUACAGGUACGGGCUCUGAGAGGAGUAGCCCGGAGAUGGGUACUGAGACACGGACCCAGGCCCUAUGGGGCGCAGCAGGCGAGAAAACUUUGCAAUGUGCGAAAGCACGACAAGGUUAAUCCGAGUGAUCUCUGCUAAAGAGAUCUUUUGUUAGUCCUAGAAACACUAACGAAUAAGGGGUGGGCAAGUUCUGGUGUCAGCCGCCGCGGUAAAACCAGCACCUCAAGUGGUCAGGAUGAUUAUUGGGCCUAAAGCAUCCGUAGCCGGCUCUGUAAGUUUUCGGUUAAAUCUGUACGCUCAACGUACAGGCUGCCGGGAAUACUGCAGAACUAGGGAGUGGGAGAGGUAGACGGUACUCGGUAGGAAGUGGUAAAAUGCUUUGAUCUAUCGAUGACCACCUGUGGCGAAGGCGGUCUACCAGAACACGUCCGACGGUGAGGGAUGAAAGCUGGGGGAGCAAACCGGAUUAGAUACCCGGGUAGUCCCAGCUGUAAACUAUGCAAACUCAGUGAUGCAUUGGCUUGUGGCCAAUGCAGUGCUGCAGGGAAGCCGUUAAGUUUGCCGCCUGGGAAGUACGUACGCAAGUAUGAAACUUAAAGGAAUUGGCGGGGGAGCACCACAAGGGGUGAAGCCUGCGGUUC
rnacentral:rRNA from 1 species